CCUACGGGAGACAGCAGUGGGGAAUCUUGGGCAAUGGGCGCAAGCCUGACCCAGCAACGCCGCGUGAAGGAAGAAGGCCCUCGGGUUGUAAACUUCUUUUAUCAGGGACGAAACAAAUGACGAUACCUGAUGCAUAAGCCACGGCUAACUACUUGCCAGCAGCCGCGGUAAUACGUAGGUGGCAAGCGUUAUCCGGAUUUACUGGGUGUAAAGGGCGUGUAGGCGGGAGAGCAAGUCAGACGUGAAAUUCCAGGGCUCAACCCUGGAACUGCGUUUGAAACUGUUCUUCUUGAGUGAAGGAGAGGCAGGCGGAACUCCGUGUGUAGCGGUGAAAUGCGUAGAUAUUAGGAGGAACACCAGUGGCGAAGGCGGCUCACUGGACUGUAACUGACGUUGAGGCUCGAAAGCGUGGGGAGCAAACAGGAUUAGAUACCCUUGUAGUC
rnacentral:rRNA from 1 species